GGUUACUUCCCCGAAAAGACAGUGCAGGUUAAAAAGGAGGUGUUUCGUUGCGGUGAAAGGAGCUAGCAUGACAGCGACCUGUGUCUGUUUUCACUUUCUCAGCAAAUGGAAAGAAUCCUGAAGAAGGCUUCCAAGACCCACAAACAAAGAGUUGAGGAUUUUAACAGACACUUGGAUACUCUGACUGAACACUAUGACAUCCCCAAAGUCAGCUGGACUAAAUGAAUAGCUUUUCUUACUCAGCUCUGGAUUAUGAGAAGCAUUUAUAUUAGGAGGAUAUGCUUAGCAUAAAUUUCUGUGAUCUCUGCAUUGGAUACCUAAUUCAUUUUUUUUUUUAAACUUUUGCAUGCUGGCAGUACUCUUUAAGUGCUUGUUUAGAAGUAUGUACAGCACACCCCCACCUUUACUGAACAAUGAAUAAAGGCCCUAAUCCUCCAUUUAUCUGCAGAAGUCCCCUUUUUUAGAGUUUGUAGGAAAACUUCUGGAGAAAUUUCAUAUGUAGGGUGUAACGAUCACUGGUUGACAGAGCCUUCUUUUGAAACAAAUGUUUUUGACAGUCUGAUUUUAGAUGCAGACAAGUUACCUUAUUGAAUUGUUCCUCCCUGGGUACUAUAAACCUCUCUGUAAUCUGUUUAUAACUUUUCUAGAAACUCUAGAAGGUCAAAUAAAAACUGCAUUUAAAA